GCCUGAUUAUGAGACAAAACUAUGUGGCAUGGUAUGGGUCGUGUCAUAAUGGUUUGGUCUUAUAAUUGGGACUCAUAUGAUGGAUUGGGCUGAGACCCCUGUAGUUGAUUGAGAAAAGUAAAGCAUUUCAAUUGUCAUAUGCAUUAAUUGCAUGCACUUGAGAUAUGAACUAUGCUGACCUGCAGGAAGGAAUUGAGGCGAGGUAAGUUCCCUGCUCUAAUUGUGUGGUUGUGUGACUAGAGCACCCUGAGGCGUAUUACCU
rnacentral:lncRNA from 1 species